AAUCGGUUUGGACAUCGUCAAAGUAAAUGUUAAGUAUCUAUUCAAGGUUAUGUCUGUACUCUAGGUUGAAAGGAAAGGUUAUUAUGUGAGGUCAGUGGUUUGAGCAGGACAAGUGAUCCUUCCUUGAAAACCAGAUUUACUGCAAGAAGGUUUAAUGAUUUAUUAUAAUCCAAGAAUUUUUGUUUUGAGUUUGACUUUAAAAGAUGUUUCAAUCAUAAUUUAGAGCUUUCUAAUGGACUCAUCAAAAUCAUAAUUGAAGUAUAAUAAUGAUGUUUGACCAGAUUCUGAAUUUCUAGGUGUCAAAAGGAAAAGAAUGAGUGGUCGAACUUGAAAAUCAGACAUUUUCUUCGAAUAGAGCAAAGAUUGAGAUAAAAAAAAUGUCAUAUAUGCAUCUGAAUGAUUCUUAUCAUUUGAAAAGCGUAAAAAAUACUCUGUAAAAAGGUAAUAUUUUUUUGCAAUUUACAUUUGAUUGGAAUGUCACUUCAUAUCUAGAAGUAAACCGUAAAAUUGGCUGUCACUUUAGUGACAGAGAACAACGACAAGUUGAUGUAACAUUUGAUAUGUUAUCUUGAUUCGGAAGAGUAAAAAAUGAAUAAAAGCUACUAUUACUGUGUUAUCAUGGUCUAGAAUUUGACGAGAGAGAAAAUGUAUAAAUAAAAAAAAUAAAAUAGAGUGUCGAGAAAAAGUAAAAAAAAAAAACAUGUACAAGAGUUCUCUCAAACUGUUUACUUGAAGAUCGAAGCUCGAUCAAAACUUCUUGUUGAUAUCAAAGCCCCUGAAAUUGAGAACCUUAACAAAGUUCUUAUACGUUCUUGCUGUUACCAAAUAAAGUGCCGCUUGCAUCUAACCAGUAAAUUUUACGAGAAAGCACCCAUCAGAGUUGUGGUUAUCGCCAACUUUCUGCUAAAUUCACUUAAAUCCUUUUGACGAGCUUGAGAUUCGCAAUUAUUUACUCUAAAUUACCAAGUCUGAAAGUCUUAAUUUACUUGAUAUUUUGUUAUUUCUUGAUGACUACAUGGUGAAUUGCCUAGUGAUAUCAUUUGUUAAAUUUGCUGAGCUAUGCAUUGGAGAGUUUAUCAGCAAGUUUCAAGGUCCUGAUCAGGAGUCAGAAAUCCAUGGUUUUUAAAAAAAAUCUAUGCCUACUCAUACUUGAGAAGGAAUUUCAAUCAGGUCCUAUCCAAGAAUAGCACUCUCACUUUUUGAGACACUGUGCCUGAUCAGAUUUACUAAAUAUAUGAAUAAUCAGGUUUUUAGAUUGAAAAAUGGCAGUUUGAAAAUCGAUUUGAUUCGAAUGGUGAAUGAAUAAAGCACUCUCUUAAAAUAAAUUAGUAAAAAUCACUUAAUUGAAUACAAAUUACCUUGCAUAAUUCUGGAUAAUUCAGGCAUUCUUCCCAGACAGAAUACCUGAAUUCUUACUAAUUUUUUUUUAUCGAGUGCAAAACAAUGUAUUUCCUAGAACGAAUCACUGAAAAUUUUUUUCUACUGAUUCAGUUUAAAAGAUACUGAACUAUUUUCAGAGACUCAUCUUUAGUCUUCAAAGACAUCAAGUAGUAAUGUGGCAGUUUAGGCAGACCAGUUGCAUCAAGUCUCUUUUAUAAAAAUAAUGCAUUUAUUUAAAUAUCAUAUUGAACAAAAGAAAAAUGAUAUUCAGUAAAUAUUAAAAAGGAUUUGAUGAUAAUAAUGGAUUAUGGAAGCUCUAAAAUUUUGACUUUAUAAAUUUUUUAUCGAUAUAUCGACUCACCAAUAACAUUGGCAAUGUUCCAAGAAAAUUUACUGACACUUUUAUGUCCUUUUCACCAAAAAUUGAACAAUGUGAAUCGACGAUAACGGUUAAAGUCAUAUAGCUAGGGGCCGAGAUAUCACCAAAGGUGGUCUAUCAUUUUGAAUGUUAAAUCCUCGAGCCGGAGAUAUAAUUCAUUCUGUGCAAGCCAAAAGGAUGGCGAGGCGACGAUAAGUGAUAACAACCUGAAUAUAUAUUUUUUUAUUCCUCAUAUUUUUAUACCAUGUUAUUCUUUCAUUUCUACCCUUUCUAAAAAAUAAAUCUAUCCCAAGUAA
rnacentral:lncRNA from 1 species